GAGCCAUUAGCUCAGUUGGUAGAGCAUCUGACUUUUAAUCAGAGUGUCAGAGGUUCGAAUCCUCUAUGGCUCACCA
rnacentral:tRNA from 1 species